rnacentral:rRNA from 1 species
GACGAACGCUGGCGGCGUGCUUAACACAUGCAAGUCGAACGGAAAGGCCCUUCGGGGUACUCGAGUGGCGAACGGGUGAGUAACACGUGGGUGAUCUGCCCUGCACUUUGGGAUAAGCCUGGGAAACUGGGUCUAAUACCGAAUAGGACCACGCGCUUCAUGGUGUGUGGUGGAAAGCUUUUGCGGUGUGGGAUGGGCCCGCGGCCUAUCAGCUUGUUGGUGGGGUAAUGGCCUACCAAGGCGACGACGGGUAGCCGGCCUGAGAGGGUGACCGGCCACACUGGGACUGAGAUACGGCCCAGACUCCUACGGGAGGCAGCAGUGGGGAAUAUCGCACAAUGGGCGCAAGCCUGAUGCAGCGACGCCGCGUGAGGGAUGACGGCCUUCGGGUUGUAAACCUCUUUCAAUAGGGACGAAGCGCAAGUGACGGUACCUAUAGAAGAAGCACCGGCCAACUACGUG